GAGGGUAUAGCUUAGUGGUAGAGCGGAUGCUUAGUAUGCAUGAGGUCUUGGAUUCCAUCCCCAGUACCUCCA
rnacentral:tRNA from 1 species